rnacentral:rRNA from 1 species
CACGUAGGGUGCGAGCGUUGUCCGGAAUUAUUGGGCGUAAAGAGCUCGUAGGCGGUGUGUCGCGUCGGCCGUGAAAACCUGCAGCUUAACUGUGGGCUUGCGGUCGAUACGGGCAUCACUGGAGUUCGGCAGGGGAGACUGGAAUUCCUGGUGUAGCGGUGAAAUGCGCAGAUAUCAGGAGGAACACCAAUGGCGAAGGCAGCUCGCUGGAACGGUACUGACGCUGAGGCGCGAAAGCGUGGGGAGCGAACAGG